rnacentral:rRNA from 1 species
UGCAGUCGAGCGGAACGAUCCUAGCUUGCUAGGAGGCGUCGAGCGGCGGACGGGUGAGUAAUGCAUAGGAAUCUGCCCGAUAGUGGGGGAUAACCUGAGGAAACUCAGGCUAAUACCGCAUACGUCCUACGGGAGAAAGCAGGGGCUCUUCGGACCUUGCGCUAUCGGAUGAGCUUAUGUCGGAUUAGCUGGUUGGUGAGGUAACGGCUCACCAAGGCGACGAUCCGUAGCUGGUCUGAGAGGAUGAUCAGCCACAUCGGGACUGAGACACGGCCCGAACUCCUACGGGAGGCAGCAGUGGGGAAUAUUGGACAAUGGGGGCAACCCUGAUCCAGCCAUGCCGCGUGUGUGAAGAAGGCCCUCGGGUUGUAAAGCACUUUCAGUGAGGAAGAAGGCUUGUCGGUUAAUACCCGGCAAGGGAGACAUCACUCACAGAAGAAGCACCGGCUAACUCCGUGCCAGCAGCCGCGGUAAUACGGAGGGUGCGAGCGUUAAUCGGAAUUACUGGGCGUAAAGCGUGCGUAGGCGGCUUGAUAAGCCGGUUGUGAAAGCCCCGGGCUCAACCUGGGAACGGCAUCCGGAACUGUCAGGCUAGAGUGCAGGAGAGGAAGGUAGAAUUCCCGGUGUAGCGGUGAAAUGCGUAGAGAUCGGGAGGAAUACCAGUGGCGAAGGCGGCCUUCUGGACUGACACUGACGCUGAGGUACGAAAGCGUGGGUAGCAAACAGGAUUAGAUACCCUGGUAGUCCACGCCGUAAACGAUGUCGACUAGCCCGUUGGGGUCCUCGAGACCUUUGUGGCGCAGUUAACGCACUAAGUCGACCGCCCUGGGGAGUACGGCCGCAAGGUUAAAACUCAAUGAAUUGACGGGGCCGCACAAGCGGUGGAGCAUGGUGGUUUAAUUCGAUGCAACGCGAGACCUUACCUACCCUUGACAU